rnacentral:rRNA from 1 species
GCAGUCGCCGCGGGAAUACGGAGGGGGCUAGCGUUGUUCGGAAUUACUGGGCGUAAAGCGCACGUAGGCGGCUUGGUAAGUUAGAGGUGAAAGCCUGGAGCUCAACUCCGGAAUUGCCUUUAAGACUGCCGAGCUAGCAAGUGAGAGAGGUAAGUGGAAUUCCGAGUGUAGAGGUGAAAUUCGUAGAUAUUCGGAAGAACACCAGUGGCGAAGGCGGCUUACUGGCUCAUACUGGACGCUGAGGUGCGAAAGCGUGGGGAGCAAACAGGAUUAGAUACCCCGGUAGUCCCUGUCUCUUAUAC